ACCCGAUUAGCUGAGAGGUGGUGCAUGGCCGUCGUCAGUUCGUACUGUGAAGCAUCCUGUUAAGUCAGGCAACGAGCGAGACCCACGUCCACAGUUGCCAGCAUACCCUCCGGGGUGAUGGGUACACUGUGGAGACCGCCGCUGCUAAAGCGGAGGAAGGAGUGGGCAACGGUAGGUCAGUAUGCCCCGAAUCUCCCGGGCUACACGCGGGCUACAAUGGUUGGUACAAUGGGCAUCUACCCCGAAAGGGGAAGGAAAUCUCUUAAAGCCAAUCGUAGUUCGGAUUGAGGGCUGCAACUCGCCCUCAUGAAGCUGGAAUCCGUAGUAAUCGCGUUUCAACAGAACGCGGUGAAUACGUCCCUGCUCCUU
rnacentral:rRNA from 1 species